rnacentral:piRNA from 1 species
UAGAACCUAUUUGGUAUUAGUAAAGGUUGGU